rnacentral:rRNA from 1 species
GGUCAAGCGAACAAGUGCAUGUGGUGGAUGCCUUGGCGAUCACAGGCGAUGAAGGACGCGGUAGCCUGCGAAAAGCCCCGGGGAGCUGGCAAACAAGCUUUGAUCCGGGGAUGUCCGAAUGGGGAAACCCACUCCUUUUGGAGUAUCCAUGACUGAAUACAUAGGUCAUGUGAAGCGAACGCGGUGAACUGAAACAUCUAAGUAACCGCAGGAAAAGAAAUCAACCGAGAUUCCCAAAGUAGUGGCGAGCGAAAUGGGAUGAGCCUUGUACUCUUUAUUUGUAUUGUUAGCCGAACGCUCUGGAAAGUGCGGCCAUAGCAGGUGAUAGCCCUGUAGGCGAAAACAGUAUGAAAGAACUAGGUGUACGACAAGUAGGGCGGGACACGUGAAAUCCUGUCUGAAGAUGGGGGGACCAUCCUCCAAGGCUAAAUACUCGUGAUCGACCGAUAGUGAACCAGUACCGUGAGGGAAAGGCGAAAAGAACCCCGGGAGGGGAGUGAAAUAGAUCCUGAAACCGCAUGCAUACAAACAGUCGGAGCCUCGUAAGGGGUGACGGCGUACCUUUUGUAUAAUGGGUCAGCGACUUACGUUCAGUAGCAAGCUUAACCGUAUAGGGCAGGCGUAGCGAAAGCGAGUCCGAAUAGGGCGUUCAGUUGCUGGGCGUAGACCCGAAACCAGGUGAUCUAUCCAUGGCCAGGAUGAAGGUGCGGUAACACGUACUGGAGGUCCGAACCCACUAACGUUGAAAAGUUAGGGGAUGAGCUGUGGAUAGGGGUGAAAGGCUAAACAAACCUGGAAAUAGCUGGUUCUCUCCGAAAACUAUUUAGGUAGUGCCUCGUGUCUCACCUUCGGGGGUAGAGCACUGUCAUGGUUGGGGGGUCUAUUGCAGAUUACCCCGCCAUAGCAAACUCCGAAUACCGAAGAGUGCAAUCACGGGAGACAGACAUCGGGUGCUAACGUCCGGUGUCAAGAGGGAAACAACCCAGACCGCCAGCUAAGGUCCCCAAAUAUGGCUAAGUGGGAAACGAAGUGGGAAGGCUAAAACAGUCAGGAGGUUGGCUUAGAAGCAGCCACCCUUUAAAGAAAGCGUAAUAGCUCACUGAUCGAGUCGUCCUGCGCGGAAGAUGUAACGGGGCUAAGCCAUAUACCGAAGCUGCGGAUGCGUGCUUGCACGCAUGGUAGGAGAGCGUUCCGUAAGCCUGCGAAGGUGCCUUGUAAAGGGUGCUGGAGGUAUCGGAAGUGCGAAUGCUGACAUGAGUAGCGAUAAAGGGGGUGAAAGGCCCCCUCGCCGUAAGCCCAAGGUUUCCUACGCAACGUUCAUCGGCGUAGGGUGAGUCGGCCCCUAAGGCGAGGCAGAAAUGCGUAGCUGAUGGGAAGCAGGUCAAUAUUCCUGCACCGUCGUUAGAUGCGAUGGGGGGACGGAUCGCGGAAGGUUGUCCGGGUGUUGGACGUCCCGGUCGCUGCAUUGGAGAAGGCGCUUAGGCAAAUCCGGGCGC